GUCCCUCAAGGACAUCCGAUGAAAUUGGAACAUAUAGAGAAGAUUAGCAUGGCCCAUGAUAAGCAUGCCUAAAAUUUCAUUUUAAGAUCAGAUAAUAUUA